AUGUGGCGGUUUGCCGUUUUUCUUGCGGCAUUUUUUGUUCAGGAUGUUGUGGGAAGCCAUGGCGACCCAGAGCUUCAUAUGACUACCCCCCAAAUCAUCGAGCGAUGGGGGUAUCCGGCGAUGAUCUACACAGUUGCCACGGAUGAUGGGUACAUUUUGGAAAUGCACAGAAUUCCAUUUGGGAAAACAAACGUAACAUGGCCAAAUGGCAAGAGACCUGUCGUCUUCAUGCAACACGGCCUGCUGUGCGCCUCUAGCGACUGGGUCGUGAACCUUCCCGAUCAGAGUGCUGGUUUCCUGUUCGCAGAUGCCGGAUUCGACGUGUGGCUCGGCAACAUGCGUGGUAACACCUACAGCAUGAAGCACAAGGAUCUAAAACCUUCGCACUCGGCGUUCUGGGACUGGAGUUGGGAUGAGAUGGCUACCUAUGAUCUGAAUGCUAUGAUCAAUCAUGUGUUGGAGGUCACUGGACAGGAUAGUGUAUACUAUAUGGGUCAUUCACAAGGAACUCUAACGAUGUUUAGUCAUUUGUCGAAGGAUGAUGGAAGUUUCGCGAAGAAGAUCAAGAAGUUCUUCGCGCUGGCACCAAUUGGGUCUGUGAAGCAUAUCAAGGGAUUUUUGUCAUUCUUCGCUAACUAUUUCUCGUUGGAGUUUGAUGGAUGGUUCGAUAUCUUCGGAGCCGGCGAAUUCCUCCCAAACAACUGGGCCAUGAAGCUAGCCGCCAAGGACAUUUGCGGAGGGCUCAAAGUUGAAGCCGACCUCUGCGACAACGUCCUAUUCCUCAUCGCCGGCCCGGAAAGUGACCAAUGGAACCAGACACGUGUUCCAGUCUACGCUACUCAUGAUCCAGCGGGGACUUCGACUCAGAACAUUGUCCACUGGAUGCAGAUGGUGCAUCAUGGAGGCGUUCCGGCGUACGACUGGGGAACCAAGACGAACAAGAAGAAAUAUGGACAGAGUACGACUUUACCGCUAUCAAGGGAACCAAGAUUUACCUCUACUGGAGUGAUGCCGAUUGGUUGGCUGAUACGCCUGACGUGCCUGACUACCUACUGACUAGAUUGAACCCGGCAAUUGUCGCUCAAAACAAUCAUCUUCCCGACUACAAUCAUUUGGACUUCACAUGGGGACUACGCGCUCCUGAUGAUAUUUAUCGUCCGGCUAUCAAGCUGUGCACUGACGAUUAUUUGGGAAAAUAA
rnacentral:misc_RNA from 1 species